GACGAACGCUGGCGGCGUGCUUAACACAUGCAAGUCGAACGGAAAGGCCCUGCUUUUGUGGGGUGCUCGAGUGGCGAACGGGUGAGUAACACGUGAGUAACCUGCCCUUGACUUUGGGAUAACUUCAGGAAACUGGGGCUAAUACCGGAUAGGAGCUCCUGCUGCAUGGUGGGGGUUGGAAAGUUUCGGCGGUUGGGGAUGGACUCGCGGCUUAUCAGCUUGUUGGUGGGGUAGUGGCUUACCCAGGCUUUGACGGGUAGCCGGCCCGAGUGGGUGACCGGCCACCUUGGGACCGUGCUACGGGCCGGACUCCUGAGGGAGGCAGAAGUGGGGAAUGUUGCACGAUGGGAGGAAGCCUGAUGCAGGGACGCCGCGGGCGGGAUGACGGCCUUCGGGUUUGAAACCGCUUUCGCCUGUGGCGGAGCGGGAGUGACGGGAAUGGGUAAAGAAGCACCGGCUAACUACGUG
rnacentral:rRNA from 1 species